CCUACGGGUGGCAGCAGUGAGGAAUAUUGAUCAAUGGACGAGAGUCUGAACCAGCCAAGUAGCGUGAAGGAUGACUGCCCUAUGGGUUGUAAACUUCUUUUAUAAAGGAAUAAAACGAGGCACGUGUGCCUUUUUGCAUGUACUUUAUGAAUAAGGAUCGGCUAACUCCGUGCCAGCAGCCGCGGUAAUACGGAGGAUCCGAGCGUUAUCCGGAUUUAUUGGGUUUAAAGGGAGCGUAGAUGGGUUGUUAAGUCAGUUGUGAAAGUUUGCGGCUCAACCGUAAAAUUGCAAUUGAUACUGGCAGUCGUGAGUACAGUUGAGGUAGGCGGAAUUCGUGGUGUAGCGGUGAAAUGCUUAGAUAUCACGAAGAACCCCGAUUGCGAAGGCAGCUUACUAAACUGUGACUGACAUUGAUGCUCGAAAGUGUGGGUAUCAAACAGGAUUAGAUACCCCUGUAGUC
rnacentral:rRNA from 1 species